AGCGAACGCUGGCGGCAGGCCUAACACAUGCAAGUCGAACGAAGUCUUCGGACUUAGUGGCGGACGGGUGAGUAACACGUGGGAACGUGCCUUUAGGUUCGGAAUAACUCAGGGAAACUUGUGCUAAUACCGAAUGUGCCCUUCGGGGGAAAGAUUUAUCGCCUUUAGAGCGGCCCGCGUCUGAUUAGCUAGUUGGUGAGGUAAAGGCUCACCAAGGCGACGAUCAGUAGCUGGUCUGAGAGGAUGAUCCGCCACAUUGGGACUGAGACACGGCCCAAACUCCCACGGGAGGCAGCAGUGGGGAAUCUUGCGCAAUGGGCGAAAGCCUGACGCAGCCAUGCCGCGUGAAUGAUGAAGGUCUUAGGAUUGUAAAAUUCUUUCACCGGGGACGAUAAUGACGGUACCCGGAGAAGAAGCCCCGGCUAACUUCGUGCCAGCCGCCGCGGUAAAAC
rnacentral:rRNA from 1 species